ACCAGACUCCUACGGGAGGCAGCAGUGAGGAAUAUUGGUCAAUGGCCGGAAGGCUGAACCAGCCAAGUCGCGUGAGGGAAUAAGGCCCUAUGGGUCGUAAACCUCUUUUGUCAGGGAGCAAAGGCGUCCACGUGUGGACGAGAGGAGAGUACCUGAAGAAAAAGCAUCGGCUAACUCCGUGCCAGCAGCCGCGGUAAUACGGAGGAUGCGAGCGUUAUCCGGAUUUAUUGGGUUUAAAGGGUGCGCAGGCGGCCUGUUAAGUCAGCGGUAAAAGCCCGGAGCUCAACCCCGGCGAGCCGUUGAAACUGGCGGGCUGGAGUUGGAGAGAAGUACGCGGAAUGCGCGGUGUAGCGGUGAAAUGCUUAGAUAUCGCGCAGAACCCCGAUUGCGAAGGCAGCAUGCCGGCUCCACACUGACGCUGAGGCACGAAAGCGUGGGUAUCGAACAGGAUUAGAUACCCUUGUAA
rnacentral:rRNA from 1 species